GUCCAUAUUUUAUCUCUCGAUAAUACCAUGGUGGGGUUUUCCUUAAAGAUCAAAGUUGGAUUUGAAGGUUUUGGACAAGAUUAUGCAUAUUUGGAUUCGAUUGAGUGAAAUCUUUGAAGAGACGCGGUUCUUGCAAAGGAGUAGCGUGAAACGGUGAAUAAAAUUGGUAGAUCUUGGGUUAUAACAAUUCACAAUUUGGAUUCGAUCGAGUGAAGGCUUUGAAGAGUUGCGUUUCUUACAAAGGAGUAGCGUG
rnacentral:lncRNA from 1 species